rnacentral:lncRNA from 1 species
CUGAGAAAUCUCUCAUACAUCUGGCCUAAAGAUCAGAGCAGAUCCUCUUGAGAACCAUGAAGUCUUUUCUGAUUGCUGCUUUUGUGUUUGGACUCUGCUGUGCCGUGCUAGCAGAGGAUGAAGAUCAUAGACAGAAGCGUUCAUCAAGCCGUUCCUCAGAGAGACAGCCUGGAGGCUUCUUCAACGCAUUUCAGCGUCCUUAUCCGUAUCCAUACUUUCCUCCAUUCAUCCCUCAGCCUCAGCCUCAGCCACUGCCUCUGCCUCAGUUCCCGAACAAUAAUGCUCUCCUCAGCCUCCUGCCAUUUCUGUUAGCACAGUUGGCAGCUUCUCCUGCUCCUGCUCCUGCCCCGGCCCCUGCUCCGGCUCCAGCUCCUGCUCCAGCUCCUGCUCCCCCUGGAGGCAGAUAAAAAUCACAGCUCUAUCCUUACAUAUGAUUAUGGGUGCACUUGUCCUUCUAAUUAAAAAAAUGCAUCAAAAAAUAAUUCAGAGCACCUUUUAACCAAUGACAGAAUUGAAUCUUGCUAUUAUGGGAUGGCAUUUAUUUUCCUGGAUCAAAAGUCUUAUUAGUUUUGCUCUUGGUCUCUAAAAAAUGAGAAUUAAUAAAUAAUCUGUGUUAAAUAA